CCAAACCCUAAUCUCCCCAACCAAGCACGAUGAGCCGCGGGUCCGGCGCCGGCUACGAUCGCCACAUCACCAUAUUCUCCCCCGAGGGCCGCCUCUUCCAAGUCGAAUACGCUUUCAAGGCCGUCAAGGCCUCCGGGAUCACGUCGAUCGGCGUCCGGGGGAGGGAUUCGGUGUGCGUCGUCACUCAGAAGAAGGUCCCUGACAAGCUUCUGGAUCAGUCGAGCGUCACUCAUUUGUUCCCCAUCACGAAGUAUCUUGGCCUGCUCGCGACGGG
rnacentral:misc_RNA from 1 species